UACGUAGGGGGCAAGCGUUUUCCGGAAUUAUUGGGCGUAAAGCGCGCGCAGGCGGCUAGUUAAGUCAGAUGUGAAAGGCUGCGGCUCAACCGCAGAGCUGCAUCUGAAACUGAUUAGCUUGAGUGCAGGAGAGGAUAGUGGAAGUCCCGGUGUAGCGGUGGAAUGCGUAGAGAUCGGGAGGAACACCGGUGGCGAAGGCGACUGUCUGGACUGUAACUGACGCUGAGGCGCGAAAGCGUGGGGAGCAAACAGG
rnacentral:rRNA from 1 species